rnacentral:rRNA from 1 species
UACGAAGGGGGCUAGCGUUGUUCGGAAUUACUGGUCGUAAAGGGCGCGUAGGCGGCCAUUCAAGUUAGGUGUGAAAGCCCUGGGCUCAACCUAGGAAUUGCACUUGAUACUGUUUGGCUUGAGUUCGGGAGAGGUGAGUGGAAUUCCCAGUGUAGAGGUGAAAUUCGUAGAUAUUGGGAAGAACACCAGUGGCGAAGGCGGCUCACUGGACCGACACUGACGCUGAGGCGCGAAAGCGUGGGGAGCAAACAGG